AGUUGGCUCCAAGAACUCGACCCAUAACUUGUCUAACUUAGGGAUAACAAUGGUGUUUAUCGGGCGACUGUAUAGCAAAUACACAGGUUUUAGUUAAAGAUGUUUAGAUUUUAGAGCUGAUAUGUGACCAGCGUGUGCUAAUAUCUCCACAAACGUUGGCCGUAACUAUAACGGUCCUAAGGUAGCAAA
rnacentral:rRNA from 1 species